UACAGAGGUCCCGAGCGUUGUUCGGAUUUAUUGGGCGUAAAGGGUGUGUAGGUGGCGCGCUAAGUCGGGUGUGAAAUUUCGGAGCUUAACUCCGAAACUGCAUUCGAUACUGGCGUGCUUGAGGACUGGAGAGGAGACUGGAAUUCAUGGUGUAGCAGUGAAAUGCGUAGAGAUCAUGAGGAAGACCAGUGGCGAAGGCGGGUCUCUGGACAGUUCCUGACACUGAGACACGAAGGCCAGGGGAGCAAACGGG
rnacentral:rRNA from 1 species